UUACGGCCAGAUCACGUUGAAACACAGAUUCCCGUAAGAUCAUCGAACUUAAGCAGCGUCGAGCCUGGUAAGUACCUUGAAGGGUGACUACUUAGGAAUACAAGCGGCUGUAAG